UCCAGCUUAUCGCUGGCGGUCUCCUGCGAGUUCCCAACUAAAUGAUGGCAACACAGGACAAGGGUUGCGCUCGUUGCGGGACUUAACCCAACAUCUCACGACACGAGCUGACGACAGCCAUGCAGCACCUGUGUUACGGUUCCCUUUCGGGCACUCUCACAUCUCUGCGAGAUUCCGUACAUGUCAAGGGUAGGUAAGGUUUUUCGCGUUGCAUCGAAUUAAUCCACAUAAUCCACCGCUUGUGCGGGUCCCCGUCAAUUCCUUUGAGUUUUAAUCUUGCGACCGUACUCCCCAGGCGGGGUGCUUAAUGCGUUAGCUGCGGCACGGAAGACGUCGAUAGCCUCCCACACCUAGCACCCAUCGUUUACGGCUGGGACUAC
rnacentral:misc_RNA from 1 species